rnacentral:rRNA from 1 species
CGUAACAAGGUUUCCGUAGGUGAACCUGCGGAAGGAUCAUUACCUAGAGUUGUAGGCUUUGCCUGCUAUCUCUUACCCAUGUCUUUUGAGUACCUUCGUUUCCUCGGCGGGUCCGCCCGCCGAUUGGACAAUUUAAACCAUUUGCAGUUGCAAUCAGCGUCUGAAAAAACUUAAUAGUUACAACUUUCAACAACGGAUCUCUUGGUUCUGGCAUCGAUGAAGAACGCAGCGAAAUGCGAUAAGUAGUGUGAAUUGCAGAAUUCAGUGAAUCAUCGAAUCUUUGAACGCACAUUGCGCCCCUUGGUAUUCCAUGGGGCAUGCCUGUUCGAGCGUCAUUUGUACCUUCAAGCUCUGCUUGGUGUUGGGUGUUUGUCUCGCCUCUGCGCGUAGACUCGCCUCAAAACAAUUGGCAGCCGGCGUAUUGAUUUCGGAGCGCAGUACAUCUCGCGCUUUGCACUCAUAACGACGACGUCCAAAAGUACAUUUUUACACUCUUGACCUCGGAUCAGGUAGGGAUACCCGCUGAACUUAAGCAUAUCA